AGGACCCUCAACUUUUGGACCCUUGAAGCCAAAUGAGGGCAUUUUCAUCUUUGGCAUCUUAAAACCACCCUCAGGACCCUCAAGGUCUGGGCCUUCAAUUUCAACCUUUGGAGCUUUAAUAUCUCCUUCAAUUUUUGGAACUGACACAUCAACAUCACCUUUCAGUUUCGGGCCUUUCAAAUUGAAGUCCACAUCUGGCAUGGAGAUCUUUGGACCAGAGAAGGAAGGCAUCUUGAAUUUGGGGCCCUUGAUUUUUCCUUCAGGUCCUUCAAUGUCAAGCUCUGGACCUUUGAUAUUCACAUCUGGUGCCUUCACAUCAACAUCAGCUUUAGGGAGUUUCACGUCAAUAUCAGGAACCUCAACUUUUGGACCCUUUAGGCCAAAAGAGGGCAUUUUCAUC